rnacentral:rRNA from 1 species
GUAAGGAAUAUUGGACAAUGGACGCAAGCCUGAUCCAGUCAUGCCGCGUGAGUGAUGAAGGCCUUAGGGUUGUAAAGCUCUUUUGUCCGGGAAGAUAAUGACUGUACCGGAAGAAUAAGCCCCGGCUAACUUCGUGCCAGCAGCCGCGGUAAUACGAAGGGGGCUAGCGUUGCUCGGAAUCACUGGGCGUAAAGGGCGCGUAGGCGGACUCUUAAGUCGGGGGUGAAAGCCCAGGGCUCAACCCUGGAAUAGCCUUCGAUACUGAGAGUCUUGAGUUCGGAAGAGGUUGGUGGAAUUGCGAGUGUAGAGGUGAAAUUCGUAGAUAUUCGCAAGAACACCAGUGGCGAAGGCGGCCAACUGGUCCGAUACUGACGCUGAGGCGCGAAAGCGUGGGGAGCAAACAGGAUUAGAAACCCGUGUAGUCC